AACGAGAAGACGGACACCGAUCGGCCGCCGCAGAUCCAUUCUUUUUUCUUCGCAGGACCACGGGACCAGGGCCCUUCCCUUCUCGUCCAUUGCCCCUUUCCUUCUCGUCCCAUACCCCGAAGGGGGAUCCGGACAGCGCAGGCGCAAUGGGUGCUCGUUGUGCCCCGGCUCCACUCGUACAUCGCAGUGCGCAUGUGCGAGGGAAAGAUCAUUUCAAUCAACUCCUGUGUGUCACCGAGGAGGAACCUCACGCUCACAGCCACUCUUGAAACCCAAGUCUUCUGACUCCUCACUUCAGCCCCCUUUUCCCUUAACAUGCUGUUACCUUAUGCUCUUCACGACCUAACUGAUAAUACAAUAUCAAUAUUAAUUUAAUAUUUAUGGCUGAUUUUGAAGUAACGUUAACUAAUGAUUUGUUAAUAAAAUUUACAAGAAUAA